CUCUCCUGCCACAUAUCUCCUGGGACAGGCUUUCACAGAGGGGACUAACAGUUCCAGAGGCAGAGAGUCCAGGAAUUAGAAGACAUCCAAGAUGGAGAAUACUCCUGAUAUCUGCAUUAAAUAAAAUGCAUUGUAUGAUGAACUGAGGACACAAAAGGUAAAGGGAACGCAGUCCUUGCCCUUGAGCAGCACAGGAUCUUCCGACAGGAGAUGGACAUCCACACAACGAUUACAUUUGGAAAGAAGCUUUGAAAGAAAAUCAGAGAAGGGACUCAAAAGGACAAUGGAUCCAAGAAAUCAAAUUUCCCAUCAUCUGGCUGUGUUAGUGUUUUGUUAAAAGGAAAUAUCAGUGAUGUUUUGUAGAAGAUAAGCAAGAAAUGAUGGAAGGAGAGAAGCUGUGUUACCUGGCCUGGAGAUCCUUCCGGCACUGCCACCUUUACUGCUCCCGA